UACGGAGGGGGCUAGCGUUGUUCGGAAUGACUGGGCGUAAAGCGCGCGUAGGCGGGCUGGAAAGUUGGGGGUGAAAUCCCGGGGCUCAACCCCGGAAUGGCCUUCAAAACUCCCAGCCUAGAGUUCGAGAGAGGUGAGUGGAAUUCCGAGUGUAGAGGUGAAAUUCGUAGAUAUUCGGAGGAACACCAGUGGCGAAGGCGGCUGACUGGACAUGUAUUGACGCUGAGGUGCGAAAGCGUGGGGAGCAAACAGG
rnacentral:rRNA from 1 species